rnacentral:rRNA from 1 species
GACGAACGCUGGCGGCGUGCUUAACACAUGCAAGUCGAGCGGAAAGGCCCUUCGGGGUACUCGAGCGGCGAACGGGUGAGUAACACGUGAGCAACCUGCCCUAGGCUUUGGGAUAACCCUCGGAAACGGGGGCUAAUACCGAAUAUGACUGCUGGCCGCAUGGCUGGUGGUGGAAAGUUUUUCGGCCUGGGAUGGGCUCGCGGCCUAUCAGCUUGUUGGUGGGGUAAUGGCCUACCAAGGCGACGACGGGUAGCCGGCCUGAGAGGGCGACCGGCCACACUGGGACUGAGACACGGCCCAGACUCCUACGGGAGGCAGCAGUGGGGAAUAUUGCACAAUGGGCGGAAGCCUGAUGCAGCGACGCCGCGUGAGGGAUGACGGCCUUCGGGUUGUAAACCUCUUUCAGCAGGGACGAAGCGAAAGUGACGGUACCUGCAGAAGAAGCACCGGCCAACUACGUGCCAGCAGCCGCCGUAACAC